rnacentral:lncRNA from 1 species
UUCAGAUAGCUUUUGAUGCCUGAAAACUUAGUUUCCACUGUUUAAUCUUUAGUAUGUUACAAAGCACGAGCUUACAGGUGUUUAGAAAGAAGAAUAACUCAGUUUAGAGCACUCUAGUAUGGGUUACAGGCUGAAAUGGACAGAGUUUUGUCUCCUUUUUCCUUUUUUUCAAAUGAGUUGCCAAGAGCUCAUAUUUAAAGACCAGAUGGCUAUAGGUCAACCCAUGGCAGCCGCGAGUCUACCUUUGGUUGCUCUGGCUGAAGACAUGCGUCCAAAAAUCAUUUACAAUCAAGUAGUUGAUUGUGAGGAAAGUAGGACUAAUAGAUAUCAAAUAUAUAAGGAGCUCUUCCGAUCUAGAAUGACCAAUGACACUACAGUACAGACACAUGUCCUAAACAUGAUCAAUUUGAUUGAAUAAUUAAGAUAAUAGGUUUUGUCAUGGAUGGAGAGUUGAGCCAAGAUUCGAUCUUACACUCACUCCCGGACUCCUUUCAAAAUUGUUGUGAAUUUUUCAUAUGAACAAGCUAGAUAUCAGCUUCGCUGAUUUGCUUAACAUGUUGGAAAAUGUUGAGAGUCAAUUUCCAACCAUGAAAGACCAAGUCUUACUGGUAGGGGCCAAAGGAUCUUCUGAAAAGAAGAACGAUUCAAAGAAGGUAAAUAGAAAGGAAAAAACAAA